rnacentral:lncRNA from 1 species
GGUCACGAAGACCGAAGACACGAAGUCACGAACAGAAUUCACAGGUCCUUGAGUCCUUCGCUGAUUUGCUGCAUCUCGCACAUCGUAGGAGGAUUACAAUCGAAGUCACAAAACUCACGAACUCACAAAGAUUCGCAGAAGGAUUAUUGGAUUAACUCACAGAUUCCGGCAUUCCGCAUUCGGCAAUCGGCUCCGGCUGUCCGCCUCCUCUCAUCGGCCAUCGCAGAUUUGCAGGAGUGAUGACGAAACCAAAAUUCAAAAAACAAGCUUUAAUUGGGAACUUUUUCUAAACUGAGUGGGCUGAACGCUGAAGUCGCUGAACAACAAGGAUACCAAGUCGCUGAACACGGGCUGAAGGUGUCGCUGAUGAUCAUUGAUCGCUGCUGAUUGCUGAAACAGUUCAGAACAAUAAUCAUCGAACAGGCUGAAGUCGCUACUGUUGUGCUGAUUGUGAGUUAUCAUAUCUAUAUCUUGGUUGGGCAAUGUAGAUGGCAAUUGGAUUGUUUUGAGAGUUUCUCUACACCUUUUUCAACUGCUAUUGCGGCCAUGGUAAAUAUGGAAGAAGGCGAAUCCCAUUACUAUAAUUUUGAGCCUUUGUUCAUGUUAUUAGUUUGACCGAUUUCAUUUUGCUUUUGAUUGGGUUGACAAAUUUCUUUUGGGGGUUCAUCAUAUGUAUGCCAACUGUCGUCAGUGGAUGUUUGUAAGUACUCUUUUGAUUAGUUUUUGAUUUAUUUGGUCGAUGAUGGUAAGCGCAACCUUAUGUCAGACUUUUGUUUGCUGCGUUUCUUUCUAUUGCGUUGGUUGGUUUACAUUACUUUUUUUUCUUCUUGAUUUGUAUGUCAAUUUCUACAACCUGGGUUUGUAAGGGCUUAUGUUACGUUAAUGCUUUAAGCUUACAUUUUAUUAGUUUAACUUUUUAUGACUGUGUUUUGUGACAUGAUAUUAAUUACCAAAUUUGACACUAACACAAUGGAUAAAUACAUUGCCAAGUAUUUCAAGAGUGGUUGUCAACGUGUUGCUACAUAUAGGUAUGAUAUCGUUCUGCUUAAAAUAAAGCAUUCUUAGUUAAGCUUUUUACUUCACAUGGUUGAUAAGGUUAUUGUUUUUUGUUGCACUUAUACCGAUGUCUAAGCUACCCCUUUCUUUGCCUUUUACACAAUAGGUUGUUACACCUUAUGUAGAAGUUUCUUUCUUUCGUUCUUGACUGCCGACUUGAGUAUGUAUUUCAGAUUUAGACGUGUAUCGUGGAUGCAUGGGCCAGAGUUGAUGGUCAACAGACACACAAUUCCAAGACAACCUUAAGGUAUAGGUAUGAGGCUGCUUUUUUAAGGGAUUACCGAUAGUGUCCAAUGAUCAAUGCUUCUGAUCCAUUAAGGCUGGGAAAGACUCUUUAAUGGCUCAUAAGGCUUUAGACAAUUUAGUUAUAACAAACUCAGUAUACGCUUCAUCUUGCUAAUAUGUGAUGGAUGAUAUAUUGGAUUCGCACGAUUAUAUUGCUACUAGUGAUAUAACCCAACAGGUAUAGAUUGGAAGAAACACAAUAGCAUGAUUAACCUACAAUGCAUAGUCAGGUGAAAAUACGAUAGCAUCACUAACCCAAGACAAGAUUCGCAUUUUAUGACUUCAAGUGGAAUAUAGUGCAAGGAAACACGGAAGUUUCACUAACACACAAUGCAGGGUCAAGUGAAAACGCGCUAGCAUCAAUAACUCAAAACAAGAUUCACAUUUUUCAACUUCAAGUGGAAGUCAAAGAUAAUAUGUUGUAUCUGGAAAUAGUAUUUUUAUGUUACACAAAAAAUCGAUUGGUUUGCUUAUUUUUGUAAAGCUAUUGCGCUUAUGGUUAUAAUAGGAUUUUCUUUUAGGAUGAAAUUUUGUAUAAAUCUGUUACAUUAGAAAGACGUACAUUUCAUAGUUGCUUU